GUGGGGUGGGGACAGGGCAGAGAGCCCAGGCAGCUUUGAGCCCGAGGCCAAGUACAGGGAGCCAGCGGAGAGCAUUUGCAAUUGCGGUAAAGCAUGAGGGAGCAGGCAGCUCGGCGGCCCGCGGGGAACAAAGCACCUGAGAAGCACUGACUGUAAACAGUGCAAGAGGGAGAGAGAAACAGGAAAAGACGGGAAGACAGAGGAGAGAGAGCCGGGAGGCCCUUCCGAAAGUCCCAAUGAAUGGCCUUGCUCGGGAAGCUCAGGAGACACAGCAGGUCAAGGCCACAGGCGCAGAGGAGCUGCAUGUCCAGCUGCUGCGGGGACAGCUCGGAGGAAGGCAGGCCUGGAAAGCAGGGCGCGGGGCUGCAGGGAGCUGUGUACUCACUCGAUGGGCUUCCCCCGGAUCUCAGACAUGAUGGAACUUUCUCCCCCGAGGUACUCAUAGCACAGGCUCAGGAAAUUGUAGAUGACCAAGGCUGUGAAAAGAGGGUCCACAGUAAACCACUCCCAUCAACAGGACGGUCAACAGACGGCAGAACUCUGAGCAGCAACGAAGUGAAAGACCAGUCACAGCAGCAACAGAGAGCCCUGAGGGACAGGAGAGCCGCACCGUGAGCUGAACACUCCAUUUUAACCAAAACCAGGCCGCACCAGUCGCACUGCUUGGGAUGCUACGCACUGCUCUCACUCUACAGCGUGCACAUGGCGACCUCAGAAGUCAGCUCUGUGUGGGGAGACGGGAGGACAGGCGGUUAGGGUGGGCACGGAGGGGCCUUGGGGGAGCUGGCCGUGUGCCCGCUCUGGGGUUCAACCAGGUACUGGCUUUAGAAUUCAUCCUAUGCUCUUUUCUAUUGUGUUAUGGACCACGAAUUUACAGCAAAACAACAAUAAAACAUUCUCCGGGGGGCUCUCAGGAAACAUUCUAAGCAAGAAUGAGACGGCAGCACUCCGUUCGCUCACAACCUGCAGUGCACCUGCGUCUGCACUAAACACAGGAGAGGUGCGGAAAGAGGCACACGUCUUGAGAAGCUGGGUCAGCUCGUUCUGAGUCAGGAGGCGACUGGACAUCCCCACAAAGAUAGAAUCUGCGAGAGCGACCGCCCGCCGGCAGAGAAGUAUGUUGUAAAUGCUACGCUAUAAAUACAGCAAUGCGCUGUGAUGGCUCCUGGUCAGAGAUGUCUGCUGGGUCAGCAAAGCGAAGGCUGCUGCCUGCAGGUGCCAGAGCGAAGGGGUGUGCCAGGAGCGAGGAGGGCGAGCGUGGAAGAAAGAGUGAGUGUGUGGCAGAGGACACCACAAAGGACGGGGCCGGAGGGUCGGGGCCGGAGCAGGGAGCGAGGAGAGGCAUCCAGAAAAGCAUGGCCAGGGCAAGGUCAACAUGGGGCCAGAGAGGCCCCUUCUCCUCUGACCCUGCGUCCCCUGCAGCACGAAGGCCUCGGGGCUCCUGGCACAGCCCCUGGUUUGGCACUCAGGGUCUCCCCACUGAUGACGUGGUCCCUGCCCACCCCUCACUCUUCCUGCCCAGCAACGCUGGACGCCCCUUUCCAUCAGCAGGUUAUUGCUUUUGCACUGGCUGUUCCCACUGCCUGGGGUGCCCCUCCCUCCGCACUCCCAUCAGACACCACCUACCCUGCGAGUCUCUGGCCACCCUAAGCCAGUUCUCUCACCCACAGCCCUGAUGACGUGCAGACGCUGUGCAGACCUCAACACGAAAGGCUGGCGACACAGUCGGUGGCGAACGGUGGCCUUCAACUUGGAAAGGAAGGUAUCUGGGUGCUUUUUGCCACUCACAGCUGGUUCGGGCCUGGAAGUGAGGGCCCCAGGGAGCACCCUCUAUGAACACGACCCAUAGCACCUACCACACUGUGCUGGGACUACCCCUUAGCAGACACAGAGCAGAGGGGUUGCCGCCUGGGUCUGCCACGGGAUUAGCUGUGAGCCUCAGUUUCCUCAUCUGUUAAAUGGGGACGGGAGUCCCUACCUUCACAGGAGGCUGCGAGGUUGAAGUGAGUAUGCAAAGUGUUCGGACGAGUGGGCAGCACUCAGCAGGGCUGCGUGUCGGCUACUACCUGCCUGCCUCCCUCAGGGGCCAGCAUCCCGGGAUGGGCUGGGACCCUGUGUGCUGCCGGCCCAGCACAGGAGCAGCUCAGGAUGUCUGGUGACUGCAGGCAUCCCCACUGAUCACUCAACGACAAGAACUACUCUGGGGUACGGGGAGGGAGCAUCUAGCCAAAUCUGACGUCAGCCUGCUAAUGGCCUUUGUCCAAACCCACACGAGGCCACAUGGAAUGGAUGUGUCCAUCCCAGGCUGGGUCCAGCCAUAUUGUGGUCGACGGUUAUUUUCCAAAGACGGCCACACUCUCUGACACUGACACAACCGCUGCAUACGGUGGACCGGGUGGCGCAGAAGCGAUGCUUCGUGGCAUCUGACACUGGGAUCAGAAGCCUCUUUCCUCUGUUCUUUCCCGAGACGCCUGCCCUUGGAUCCAGUCACCGUGCGGGAAGCCCAGGCUGACCCCCACGUGGGAGGAAUUGAGGGCCCAACAGACACCAGCACCCACUGCCAGACACACGAGUGAGUCAGAUUCCAGAUGAAUCUGCCCCGGCCAAGACCCCGCUACCACGGGCAGGGGCACACCAUGCCCACGUGCGUCCUGAUGCCUGCCUGGCAGUCAGCAGAAGCAGACGGUUGUUUUACACGGGGCUGUUUGGGAUCGUUACCUACACAGCCAUGUAAGUAGAACCUAGACAUAAAACCACCUGUGGCGUUCCCAGGGCGUGCACGCUCCUCACGCGUCCCGAGGCCACAUAUUCUGGUCCCUCUGCCUCCCAGAGGGACCCGCUGAGGUGCCGCCUUCUCCUUGGUGGCCUCCUCUGUCCUGUUGCCAUGCUCACUUCCCACACGGUGAGCUCUCUGCCCAUCCGCCUGGAACUUCCAGUACAAGCAGCAGCGAAGUGGCAGGAAAGCCAUGAACGCCGAGCCAGCCCUCCUGGGUGUGGGCGUGGUCCUACCACUUGGAGCUGUAAACAUGGCCACAUAUUCUGGCUACACUCUCUCCACCAAGAUGUUUCAUUUGGGCCCAGGUUCCAGGGGCUCAGAGCAGCAGGGCAGGCAGCCAUGCCCACACUCAGCUCUGUGCUCCAGUUCGCCCUCUCACGGGAUGCUGAACAGAUUUCCCCAAGGUGAUCAGAUUUCCAGGCCGGAAAGACAAAACCCUCCAGGGAACCCCCAGGGGCCGAAGUUCAUCAGCCCCUCCACACGGAACCACUCUCACAGCCAGGCCUCCUGCCAUCCACGGAGAAGAGCCUGGCGCCUGAGCUCACAUCCUUUCCUGUAUCACAUAGGUCUGCAUGCAGCCAAGCUCUGUGCUCAGUUGGUCAGAACUGUCAAAUCUCAUCCAUCCCUCAGCUCAAGAUUCUCGACCUUUUACCAGUGCUCUGGCCAGCGAGUCUGUAUAACACCAAGUUGGUGACGAUGUCUGUUAAAGAAUCAUGAGUGAGUCGAUAACGCGCUCUCAGAGAAGGGAGGCAAGACAGACUGUCUUCCAGAUGGUCCAACCAGCCCACACCAGGACCAUCUGGACAAGCCAAUCCCUCACCAGAGAGUUCCAGAGCCACCCCAGCACCCGGCCAGGGUGUUCACAAUGACAAGUCAACACACCCCAGGAACCAACACAAAGAUAUGCUGCCCUGGGCAUCGGGAAAGCACAGCAGAUUCGCAGUGAGGUUCUCAGCCAGCGGCCUUGUUGCCUGACUUCCCCCUGACCAUGGUUUCAGUUCUGGCCCCUGGGAGGCCUCAGAGAAACAGAGUAACUCUAUGCCCCCUAAAUGUUUGCUACAGCCUCUGUGCUAGGCUCUGUGCUGGGCCCUGGGGACACAGAAAUGACCAAGGAUCCCACAGAAAAGGCCCUCCCGUGUGAAGCAGGGCGUCCAGAAUGAGGGAAGGGACGGUGUCUGUCUGUCUCCGUCUCCUGCUCGGGAAAGUGAGGUACUGGAACUUUGGGCUCCAUCCUGUGCGCCUAGAGAAAUGCACACAGUCAGGAGAGCAGGACAGGGUGGGGAUGAAAUGCGGGCUGUCCUGGGUCCUUGAGGCCUGGAGGGAAGACACUGGCACUCACUCUCUUCAUCUGUGCGCCAGUAACCUUGCCCAGAAGGUCAGACAGGACCUGCUUAAUCCCAGAGGUGGAUCCUACGACCUCUGCUCAGUGUAAGAGGCAGUCUUCAGAGGGGCAAGGUAGUGAGCUCUCUGCUAGUGGAAGCAUGCAAUCAGAGCUCGGCCCUUUCACAUGGGCCACAACCAGGGCAUGGCAGCCCCUUAACAGGCAUUAACUAUAAAGGGCCUGAGCAGCUGACACUUUACAGGUCCCUCCUUUCCAACCCCGAGACGCCUGCCUGACUUUCUCUCCAACCGGAGCAGCAGGGAAAGGAAGCUGUCCUCCAAGAGACUGUUCUCCACCCCGCCCCCCUCAUCCCUGCCCCCCUCCCGGACAACUGCAACAGCACAGCCUUGGGGGCCCCCAAGGCUUCACGAGGGGCUCCCUGACAAGUGCACUCAGCAGCCUCUGCCAGCAAACCCCGGGGCAGGCGUCCUCAUCGGCUCCCCCCCUCCCACACUACAGGUAAGUGAGGCACCCGUCUGCUCCACAGACACUCCCUGGGCCCCAUUCUGUGCCCUGGGUGCACCUGGCCAUCGCCAGCUCACUCCUCCACGCGCCUUCCGCACCGAAAGCAGCCCCGGGGCCUCGCUGUCCUUGCUACACAGACACUGUUAUUUGGAAAGACUCGGGCAUUCGUUUUUCAGAUAACUCACGGGUGAGCCCGGGAAACUCAGUUUUGACCACUUGGGACAGAAAUCUUCCCUGCUCAGUAAAGAGGGCCUCAGGACUUUCUUUCCUUUUUUCAGGGACUGAUGAUCACUGCGGACAAUAAUGGGCACAGUGCACUACAGCCAGGGCGACGGGCUCUGCCCGACACGAAAGGCCCAGGGGUGCUGCCAGGCAGGUCCUUCCCCCACACUCCCCAUGUCAUGUCUGUCCUUUGCUGGUCCUGCUUCCUGCCACCUGGAAUGCCCUUUCUCUCUCUCAGGACCUCUGCUGGUUCCUUCUGCAAACCUCUUUAUUCUGAUCAGAGCUCCUGUGAGUCCUGGCAGCACAUGGCGUCGCCGGCCUUCUGUGGCGUGUUUGCGGCCCUCGGCCGGGUUCAUUCUGGCUACACUCUCUCCACCAAGAUGUUUCAUUUGGGGCCAGGUUCCAGGAAGCGAACCUUGUCCAAAUCUGAAACUGGGUGAAUGAAGCGUCAUUCUUUAAUUGUUUCAUCCAGGCCUGUAAAACCUCUUCCCCUGACAAGAGUUCAUAUUUUUCGCUGAGAAACUCAUCCUGUGUUCCUUCACCAAGCCUGGCACAGGGCAACCCCGGGCCUGGGAGCCCCAGGCGAGCCUGGCGUCCAGCAAGCACGUGGGAAAUCCUGGGCCAGCUUCUUAGCCUCUCAAAUUCCUUCCCACGGUUGUAAAAUGGGGGUGAUAUGUAUUCCUCCGGGUAACUGGGAGGUGAGAAUGAGCUAAGCCUAAUGAAAAAUAGGUGGUAAAGCUGUGAGCCCACACCAUCGUUACUGGGAAAACAGUGCUGCGUAAAGCAACGGGAAGCCCUCUCCUCUGCACCCUGGCCUCCUGCACCCCUGGAUCAGCUCCCCAGCUCCUCAGGCUGCCUCAGAGUUAUCUCUAGGAGCUACCUCCCACGCCGACCACAAUCAAACACUAAAUGCAGAGAAGGGGCUGGUUUCCCGGCUACCCCAGCCUGGCGCUGCCGUGUGAACUGCGGUGUGAGUUACAGCCCUCACCAGAUGAAUGCCACUGAGAUGAGAAUGAAUCGGUGGAAAAGUACAAGCCUUCAAGGACAAGGAGAUGGCACCGGAGGCAGCCGACAGCAGUGCUGACAAAAGCUCUGAGAUGCAGCAUGGUCAGCGUGGCCCCCGACCAGGAGGGCCCAGGACUGCAGGGGAAGGUGCAGGUGGAAAACAUGGCUGCAAGUCUGUGCGGCCUUUACUUUCCUGGCCGGUGGGGACAGCUCCUUCCUCAGAGAACUCAGCUCAGCCGAGGGCAGCAACGCGGACACUUGCAGAAAACAGAUGAGGUCUGAAUGUGAAGCGCGAGGUGUCUAGGUCCCUUCCCCCAACUGCACCCUUAACUCAGCGUGCCCAGCUUUCACCACCCAGAGAACAUUAUGACCUGGGGAAACAGGCCCAGGAUAAAAAAAUCUUCAUCGAGUGCCUGUCCCCACCACUGCGUAAAAACGGCACAGGAAAACCAUGUCCUGUCACCCAACUGGGAGGCCGGCAGUGUAAGCCCCAUUCUUCAAUACAAAGAAUAGCCAAGGACACCAGACACUUGAGGAGCGCUUCCAAAACAAAGGUCAAAGGCCAAGACAAACAAACAGGGAAGUCAGGAGACCGAGAUAAUGCAGGAAACAGAAGAAAACUGCAAUUAGCGUCCCGGGAAGGGGAGAUACUCUCUCCCACACCAAGCACAAGGGACUAUAAAAUAGAACAGGAAAGAGCGCCUGACGCUUUACAACACGAUAAAGAAAACAAAACCUUCCGUAGGAAAGCUCAAAGUCCAUUUUUUAAAAAAAGAAUCAGAAUCCAGCAGACUUUCCGAAAACAAUGCUGGAAGCUGAAAGACUGAAAAACCUGCCUUCAGAAUUCAGAGGGAGAGUAAUUUCCGUCUUAGAAUUGUACUCCCAUUGACAACUAACCAAACAGAACAAUAUAAUACAUAUCUGUAGACAAUUUUCAGAUUUCAAAAAACAGAACCCCCAUGCACCCUUUUCUCAGGAAGCUCCUGGGAGCCGAGCUCUAACCAGGAGAGGGCGAAUCACCAACAAGGGAAAAUGACCCCAGGGGACAGGUGGUCAGCACAGGAGCCAGGGUUCCCAGGACGCUGGGAGGGAAGACCCAGGGCAGCUGCCGAGCAGGAGGCCAGACCCAGCCCAGAGCAGGAGGCAGGGCGUCAGGAGGAACAGCACCGAGGAAAACCCAGAGCGAAGGGACAUGCGCCUCCUCUUAGAGAAGGCGCGCUUCUAAUUCAGUGAAGCGUUCGGGAACAAAGUGAUGACAGAUACAGAGCAAACAGAGUAAACCAAACAGCAAGACAAGUGGCAGCAGAGCAAAAGCACAAGGAAAUGUCAUCUCGAGGCACCUGCAGGCUCAGCGUUGAACAAUGUUUAUAGACAUGGAGUAGCGCACACACGAAAUGCGGACUUAGAAACGCUUGUCACCUUAAAAAGAUGAAGGAGCGAAGCGUGUGGGUGUGCACAGCCGGAGGUGAGUGCCUGAGUCACAAGCCGCCCAGAGGAAGAAGUCUGCUACUAAACACUACAUGACACUGGAAAAUCCAGAAACAACAGUCUACGCACGUUUUUAGGUUAUUCAAGGGAAAAAAAGUUUAAGGAGUUGAAAGUGGCCCUGGCCGGGUAGCUCCAUUGGUUAGAUGAUCAUCCUGAUUUUAAAAAAAUAAUAAAAAUAAAAAAAGAGUUGCAAGUGCAGUGAACUUGGGAGUCAGAGGAGUUGGGGCAGCUUGUUUCGUCCAUAUGCAUGUAUGACUUUAAUAAAAAUAAAAUGUUCAUUGUUUUAA